GACAGAGGUGCCGAGCGUUAGGCGGAAUCACUGGGCUUAAAGCGUGUGUAGGCGGAUGGGUAAGUACCUUGUGAAAUCCCACAGCUUAACUGUGGAACUGCUUGGUAUACUGCCAGUCUUGAGCCAGCUAGGGGCUACCGGAACAAAUGGUGGAGCGGUGAAAUGCGUAGAUAUCAUUUGGAACGCCAAUGGUGAAAACAGGUAGCUGGGGCUGUGCUGACGCUGGAGACACGAAAGCCAGGGGAGCAAACGGG
rnacentral:rRNA from 1 species